rnacentral:rRNA from 1 species
GUGGAUAACCUGCCUCAAGGCUGGGGAUAACAUUUGGAAACAGAUGCUAAUACCGAAUAAAACUUAGUAUCGCAUGAUAUCAAGUUAAAAGGCGCUACGGCGUCACCUAGAGAUGGAUCCGCGGUGCAUUAGUUAGUUGGUGGGGUAAAGGCUUACCAAGACGAUGAUGCAUAGCCGAGUUGAGAGACUGAUCGGCCACAUUGGGACUGAGACACGGCCCAAACUCCUACGGGAGGCUGCAGUAGGGAAUCUUCCACAAUGGGCGCAAGCCUGAUGGAGCAACGCCGCGUGUGUGAUGAAGGCUUUCGGGUCGUAAAGCACUGUUGUAUGGGAAGAAAUGCUAAAAUAGGGAAUGAUUUUAGUUUGACGGUACCAUACCAGAAAGGGACGGCUAAAUACGUGCCAGCAGCCGCGGUAAUACGUAUGUCCCGAGCGUUAUCCGGAUUUAUUGGGCGUAAAGCGAGCGCAGACGGUUGAUUAAGUCUGAUGUGAAAGCCCGGAGCUCAACUCCGGAAUGGCAUUGGAAACUGGUUAACUUGAGUGUUGUAGAGGUAAGUGGAACUCCAUGUGUAGCGGUGGAAUGCGUAGAUAUAUGGAAGAACACCAGUGGCGAAGGCGGCUUACUGGACAACAACUGACGUUGAGGCUCGAAAGUGUGGGUAGCAAACAGGAUUAGAUACCCUGGUAGUCCACACCGUAAACGAUGAAUACUAGGUGUUAGGAGGUUUCCGCCUCUUAGUGCCGAAGCUAACGCAUUAAGUAUUCCGCCUGGGGAGUACGACCGCAAGGUUGAAACUCAAAGGAAUUGACGGGGACCCGCACAAGCGGUGGAGCAUGUGGUUUAAUUCGAAGCAACGCGAAGAACCUUACCAGGUCUUGACAUCCUUUGAAGCUUUUAGAGAUAGAAGUGUUCUCUUCGGAGACAAAGUGACAGGUGGUGCAUGGUCGUCGUCAGCUCGUGUCGUGAGAUGUUGGGUUAAGUCCCGCAACGAGCGCAACCCUUAUUGUUAGUUGCCAGCAUUCAGUUGGGCACUCUAGCGAGACUGCCGGUGACAAACCGGAGGAAGGCGGGGACGACGUCAGAUCAUCAUGCCCCUUAUGACCUGGGCUACACACGUGCUACAAUGGCGUAUACAACGAGUUGCCAACCUGCGAAGGUGAGCUAAUCUCUUAAAGUACGUCUCAGUUCGGACUGCAGUCUGCAACUCGACUGCACGAAGUCGGAAUCGCUAGUAAUCGCGGAUCAGCACGCCGCGGUGAAUACGUUCCCGGGUCUUGUACACACCGCCCGUCACACCAUGGGAGUUUGUAAUGCCCAAAGC